rnacentral:snRNA from 1 species
GUGCUUGCUUCAGCAGCACGUAUACUAAAAUUGGAAUGAUACAGAGAAGAUUAGCAUGCCCCUGUGCAAGGAUGACACGCAAAUUCUUGAAGUGUUCCAUAUUAAA